UACGUAGGCAGCGAGCGUUGUUCGGAGUUACUGGGCGUAAAGGGUGCGUAGGCGGUUGUUUAAGUUUGGUGUGAAAUCUCCCGGCUCAACUGGGAGGGUGCGCCGAAUACUGAAUGACUAGAGUGCGGGAGAGGAUAGUGGAAUUCCUGGUGUAGCGGUGGAAUGCGUAGAGAUCCGGAAGAACACCAGUGGCGAAGGCGGCCCGCUGGGCAGUGGCUGACGCUGGAGGCGCGACAGCGUGGGGAGCAAACAGG
rnacentral:rRNA from 1 species